UUUCCGUAGGUGAACCUGCGGAAGGAUCAUUCAUAAUAAGUGUUUUAUGGCACUUUUUAAAUCCGUAUCCACCUUGUGUGCAAUGUCAGGGUUGAUUUUUCUCUCGAGAGGAUCAGCCCCAAACAUCAACUAUAUCUUAACUCUUUGUCUGAAAAAUAUUAUGAAUAAAACAAUUCAAAAUACAACUUUCAACAACGGAUCUCUUGGCUCUC
rnacentral:misc_RNA from 1 species